UGGAUCGAUGGUGGUCACUGGUGGCGUAUGAGUCUUAGACAGUGAACAUGUGUCUGAAACUCUGAGGUCUGU